rnacentral:tRNA from 1 species
GAGGGUGUAGUUCAGUGGUAGAGUGCAUGCCUAGCAUGCACGAGGUCCUGGGUUCAGUCCCCAGUACCUCCA